GUUGGCUUACGAGGCCCUGAUUCGAUUCCUGAGGACGCCUUCCAAUCAGGAAUCGAUUAAAGCAGAGCUCAGCUCCUGUGACCACCACUACAACUUCCUGGAUGUUUUUUUGAGCUGAUUUUCUUCAGCUACUUUAUAAAUGGCUCAAAACCUCCGCCAUUUAAGGGAGGUUUCUUGGAGCGCCUGCUUGCGCUCUUCAGCAUGUGGGACGUGGACGUGUGGGAGCCUGCAGCAGAGCUGUACUUCACAGUGCUUAUUGAUUACCUUACAGAGCUUGCUGAAGUACUCUUCACUCAGCCUCUGGAGCUCUACAGUGACCCAGCAGCCUUAGCCACCACAGUUCAGCGACUCCUCAAGCUG